rnacentral:misc_RNA from 1 species
GAUAGCCCACCAAAAAAUCACACAUGAAGAGGUGGUUCUUGCAGUUUGAAUUUCAAGCGCUCAGACAUUUGAACGCAAUCGUGUUAUAGGAAUUUCUCGCAGUUCACGUUUGAUGCACAGAUAUUCACCCAGUAAAGACAUCACUACAAGCCCAGUACCAUUCACAACCCACCACGUGAUUGAGGAAGGCCACCCUCCAUAAAUGAUACAAAUGAAAAGGUGGAAUAUA